GCAUUGGUAGUUCAGUGGUAGAAUUCUCAUGUUUCAUGCUGGAGACCUCGGUUAAUUUCCCAGCCAAUGCA
rnacentral:tRNA from 1 species